rnacentral:rRNA from 1 species
AGAGGGUGCAAGCGUUAAUCGGAGUUACUGGGCGUAAAGGGCGCGUAGGCGGUUAUAUAAGUGAGAUGUGAAAUCCCUGGGCUUAACCUAGGAACUGCAUCUUAUACUGUAUGACUGGAGUAUUGUAGAGGGUAGUGGAAUUUCCGGUGUAGCGGUGAAAUGCGUAGAGAUCGGAAGGAACACCAGUGGCGAAGGCGGCUACCUGGACAAAUACUGACGCUGAGGCGCGAAAGCGUGGGGAGCAAACAGGAUUAGAUACCCUGGUAGUCCACGCUGUAAACGAUGAGAACUAGAUGUUGGUAGGCAUGACCUAUUAGUAUCGAAGCUAACGCGAUAAGUUCUCCGCCUGGGGAGUACGACCGCAAGGUUA